rnacentral:rRNA from 1 species
GCUCUCCUACGGGAGGCAGCAGUGAGGAAUAUUGGUCAAUGGUCGGGAGACUGAACCAGCCAAGCCGCGUGAGGGAGGAAGGUACAGAGUAUCGUAAACCUCUUUUGUCAGGGAACAAAGACUGGGACGCGUCCCCGGAUGAGUGUACCUGAAGAAAAAGCAUCGGCUAACUCCGUGCCAGCAGCCGCGGUAAUACGGAGGAUGCGAGCGUUAUCCGGAUUUAUUGGGUUUAAAGGGUGCGCAGGCGGUCUGUUAAGUCAGCGGUCAAAGCCCGGGGCUCAACCCCGGCCCGCCGUUGAAACUGG